CCUUCACAUUGCACAUGUUGAAU
rnacentral:snRNA from 1 species